GACGAACGCUGGCGGCGUGCUUAACACAUGCAAGUCGAACGGGAGUAUCGAAGAAGCUUGCUUUUAAGAUACUUUAGUGGCGGACGGGUGAGUAACGCGUGAGGAGCUGUCCUAUGCAGGGGGACAACAGUUGGAAACGACUGCUAAUACCCCAUAAGCCGAGAGGUAAAAGGAUUUAUCCGGCAAAGGAGGUACUCGCGUCCUAUCAGCUAGUAGGUGGGGUAACGGCUCACCUAGGCGAAGACGGGUAGCCGGCCUGAGAGGGCGAACGGCCACACUGGAACUGAGAUACGGUCCAGACUCCUACGGGAGGCAGCAGUGGGGAAUAUUGGGCAAUGGGGGAAACCCUGACCCAGCGACGCCGCGUGGGUGAAGAAAUCCUUCGGGAUGUAAAGCCCUGUUGUAUGGGAAGAGCAGAAGACGGUACCAUACGAGGAAGCCCCGGCAAACUACGUGCCAGCCGCCGCAGUAAUAC
rnacentral:rRNA from 1 species